UCUUCCCUUUCCUCUCAGUCCCUUCAAUCUUCAAUGUUCUUCGUCUUUCCAUUCCUGGUCCGUGCGUGGUGGUCUAUCUCUCUCGGUUUCCCGUAGACUCGGUCUCUCGGUCUCUCGGUCUCUCGGUUUCAGUUCGUGGUCCGUUCGUAGCUUGCUCUUGCAAGUCAGCCCUCUUCCAGGUCAGCCCUCUCUUUGUACCAAGUUCUCCUUUGCUCUAUCAAUGGAGGAGCCUCUUCUAUUCUGAGAAAUACCUCAAACCCACCAGCUGUUUCACUCAUUCUCAGGUUGGGGAUCGAAUUGGCAAGGAGCAUUGCAAAGGUAAUUUGCAAGAGUUGUUAAACCCAGACAAAAAACAAGAUUUUAGUAAGAGAACAACAUCAAAUACAAAUUCAUUGGAGAUGGAUAAAAGUUGGAUCCAU